GGAGGAUGCAAGCGUUAUCCGGAUUCAUUGGGUUUAAAGGGUGCGCAGGUGGGAAAAUAAGUCAGUGGUGAAAUACUGCCGCUUAACGGUAGAAUUGCCAUUGAUACUGUUUUUCUUGAGUAUGGUUGAGGUAGGUGGAAUGUGUUGUGUAGCGGUGAAAUGCAUAGAUAUGACACAGAACGCCGAUUGCGAAGGCAACUUACUAAGCCAUUACUGACGCUGAGGCACGAAAGCGUGGGGAUCAAACAGGAUUAGAUACCCUGGUAGUCCACGCUGUAAACGAUGAUCACUCGCUGUUUGCGAUAUACAGCAAGCGGCUGAGCGAAAGCAUUAAGUGAUCCACCUGGGGAGUACGAUCGCAAGGUUGAA
rnacentral:rRNA from 1 species